rnacentral:rRNA from 1 species
CUCCGGGCUUUGUUUGCGCAGGAUAGGUGGGAGGCGUUGAAAGUUUUCUUGCGGGAAGAUUUGAGCCAUUGGUGAGAUACCACUCUAACAAUGCUAGGAUUCUAACCCUAUGUCGUUAUCCGGCUAGGGGACAGUUUCAGGUGGUCAGUUUGACUGGGGCGGUCGCCUCCUAAAAGGUAACGGAGGCGUGCAAAGGUUCCCUCAGGCUGGCUGGAAAUCAGUCGUAGAGUGUAAAGGCAUAAGGGAGCUUGAUUGUGAGACCUACAAGUCGAACAAAGACGAAAGUCGGCCUUAGUGAUCCGGCGGUACCGAGUGGAAGGGCCGUCGCUCAACGGAUAAAAGUUACUCUAGGGAU